GACGAACGCUGGCGGCGUGCCUAACACAUGCAAGUCGAACGAGGUCCAAGGGAGCUUGCUCCCUGAAGACCUAGUGGCGAACGGGUGAGUAACACGUGAGAAACCUGCCCUCGAGUGGGGAAUAACCCGGGGAAACCCGGGCUAAUACCGCAUACGCUCCUCUGGUCGCAUGGCCGGAGGAGGAAAGUUUUUCGGUCAAGGAGGGGCUCGCGGCCUAUCAGCUUGUUGGCGGGGUAACGGCCCACCAAGGCUACGACGGGUAGCUGGUUUGAGAGAACGAUCAGCCACACUGGGACUGAGACACGGCCCAGACUCCUACGGGAGGCAGCAGUGGGGAAUCUUGCGCAAUGGGCGAAAGCCUGACGCAGCAUCGCCGCGUGCGGGAUGACGGCCUUCGUGGUUGUAAACCGCUUUCAGCAGGGACGAAAAUGACGGUACCUGCAGAAGAAGCUCCGGCUAACUACGUGCCAGCCGCCGCAGUAA
rnacentral:rRNA from 1 species